rnacentral:rRNA from 1 species
AUUGAACGCUGGCGGCAGGUUUAACACAUGCAAGUCGAACGAUGAGUCUCUAGCUUGCUAGAGAUGAUUAGUGGCGGACGGGUGAGUAACAUUUAGGAAUCUACCUAGUAGUGGGGGAUAGCUCGGGGAAACUCGAAUUAAUACCGCAUACGACCUACGGGUGAAAGGGGGCGCAAGCUCUUGCUAUUAGAUGAGCCUAAAUCAGAUUAGCUAGUUGGUGGGGUAAAGGCCCACCAAGGCGACGAUCUGUAACUGGUCUGAGAGGAUGAUCAGUCACACCGGAACUGAGACACGGUCCGGACUCCUACGGGAGGCAGCAGUGGGGAAUAUUGGACAAAGGGGGCAACCCUGAUCCAGCCAUGCCGCGUGUGUGAAGAAGGCCUUUUGGUUGUAAAGCACUUUAAGCAGGGAGGAGAGGCUAAUGGUUAAUACCCAUUAGAUUAGACGUUACCUGCAGAAUAAGCACCGGCUAACUCUGUG